ACGAACGCUGGCGGCAGGCCUAACACCUGCAAGUCGAGCGAGGACUUCGGUUCUAGCGGCGGACGGGUGAGUAACGCGUGGGAAUGUGCCCUUCUCUACAGAAUAGCCCUGGGAAACUGGGAGUAAUACCGUAUACGCCCUAUUGGGGAAAGAUUUAUCGGAGAAGGAUCAGCCCGCGUUGGAUUAGGUAGUUGGUGGGGUAAUGGCCUACCAAGCCGACGAUCCAUAGCUGGUUUGAGAGGAUGAUCAGCCACACUGGGACUGAGACACGGCCCAGACUCCUACGGGAGGCAGCAGUGGGGAAUCUUAGACAAUGGGGGCAACCCUGAUCUAGCCAUGCCGCGUGAGUGAUGAAGGCCUUAGGGUUGUAAAGCUCUUUCAGCUGGGAAGAUAAUGACGGUACCAGCAGAAGAAGCCCCGGCUAACUCCGUG
rnacentral:rRNA from 1 species